rnacentral:rRNA from 1 species
AUUGAACGCUGGCGGCAGGCCUAACACAUGCAAGUCGAGCGAGCGGCGGACGGGUGAGUAAUGUAUGGGGACUGCCCGAUAGAGGGGGAUAACUACUGGAAACGGUGGCUAAUACCGCAUACUAUCGGAUAACCCAGAUGGGAUUAGCUAGUAGGUGGGGUAAAGGCUCACCUAGGCGACGAUCUCUAGCUGGUCUGAGAGGAUGAUCAGCCAAAACGGGACUGAGACACGGCCCAGACUCCUACGGAGGGAGCAGUGGGGAAUAUUGCACAAUGGGGGGAAGCCUGAUGCAGGCAUGCCGCGGGAGUGAUGACGGCCUUUGGGGUGGAAAGCUCUGUUAAGCGGGACGCGGUACCGGAAUAGAAAGCCACGGCUAACUACGUGCCAGCAGCCGCGGUAAUAC